rnacentral:rRNA from 1 species
GACGAACGCUGGCGGCGUGCCUAAUACAUGCAAGUAGAACGCUGAAGAGAAGAGCUUGCUCUUCUUGGAUGAGUUGCGAACGGGUGAGUAACGCGUAGGUAACCUGCCUGGUAGCGGGGGAUAACUAUUGGAAACGAUAGCUAAUACCGCAUAAAAUUGAUUAUUGCAUGAUAAUUAAUUGAAAGAUGCAAUUGCAUUACUACCAGAUGGACCUGCGUUGUAUUAGCUAGUUGGUGAGGUAACGGCUCACCAAGGCGACGAUACAUAGCCGACCUGAGAGGGUGAUCGGCCACACUGGGACUGAGACACGGCCCAGACUCCUACGGGAGGCAGCAGUAGGGAAUCUUCGGCAAUGGGGGGAACCCUGACCGAGCAACGCCGCGUGAGUGAAGA